GACGAACGCUGGCGGCGUGCUUAACACAUGCAAGUCGAACGGAAAGGCCCUGCGUUUGUUGGGUUCUCGAGUGGCGAACGGGUGAGUAACACGUGUGUAACCUGCCCUUGACUUUGGGAUAACCUCACGAAACUGGGGCUAAUACCGGAUAGGAUCUCCUGCUGCAUGUUGGUCGUUGGAAAGUUUCGGCGGUUGGGGAUGGACUCGCGGCUUAUCAGCUUGUUGGUGGGGUAGUUGCUUACCAAGGCUUUGACGGGUAGCCGGCCUGAGAGGGUGACCGGCCACAUUGGGCCUGAGAUACGGCCCAGACUCCUACGGGAGGCAGCAGUGGGGAAUAUUGCACAAUGGGCGGAAGCCUGAUGCAGCAACGCCGCGUGCGGGAUGCCGGCCUUCGGGUUGUAAACCGCUUUCGCCUGUGACGAAGCGUGCGUGACGGUAAUGGGUCAAGAAGCACCGGCUAACUACGUG
rnacentral:rRNA from 1 species